AGAAAUUCUCCUGGACGGAGGGCCAGAAAGGCAUGUCCAUUCGAGGCCGUCGCGAAUUGGCGUCGGAGCCGUCGCUCGGGUCGUCAGCGUAUUCCUGAUCCGUGGAUCAGUCUCCGGUAACGACGUCACUGGGUUGGAGUAAAUGCGAUAUGGGUAGCUGGGUGUAGCUUGCUCCUACCUCUCCCCGCUGCCGCUCUGGUUCUAUCGAGGGCGGCUCGGCGGCGAAACCUAGGGUUGCUAACUCUCUCGUCCAGCGCGCAUGGAGUUCUUGAUGCAGCCAUUCAACAGUAGAACUCAUAAGCCACAGGCAUCUGAAAACUCCAUAGAGCAGAUUGAUCCAAAGACCCCUGGCUGGACACGAAGACAGACGGCAAAAAGACCAGAAAUAACCUUUUAAGGUAGCUUCCAGCCUGACAACCACCCCGACCGCAGGCAUGGUUGGGCUACGCCUUGGGGGAGGUAUCAUAAGCACUGUCGUGUAUAAGACAGUAGCAGAUGGUCGUAUCGCCUUCAACAAGGAUGGGUGUGGUAGGAAUUCAUGGAGGAGAACGACCUAAAGGUUGGCAGAGCGGUGCUAAUCACCAUCAGGAACAGUGCACUGGACGAACUGACACAUGAUGGUUGUCGUCAACCCGAUCUAAGAUGACCAUCAGGGUCAAUGCUAAAGUUGUCACCGCCUUUUGUUCUGCUGUGUGUUAACUAUGUGGCGCCGCAGUUUGAUGAACUAUGUUUGUUUUCUCUUAUUUUGUUAUUGCGGUGGUAUGCACCGUCAAAAAGUAUGUAAUAUGGAGUCUGAAACUUUUUUUAUGAUUUCGUGUGGUACUUGAUUCAUAGGUUAUCAGUAUUUCCUAGUAUCUAUUUUUUCCAGCAAUUUCAGUUCUGCUACGACCAUAGUUUUUGCCUUUUUCAUUUUUGAUGUAGGUUCUAAAUGCUAGUCCUCUGUUUAUCCAGUCUUAAUUUUAUGUCAUUGGUCAGUUAUUAGACUCUUUUUUGUUAAUGUCAGUAUUUAGUUUUUUUUUGUCCAUUCAGAUGUGGUUUUUCCUAUGUUCUUUAGUUACUUGGUGGAGGGCUGGAACAGGAGAGGCUGUGUGUUUAGUUUUCUUCAGCUUUGUUUUUCUUUUUGGAAUUUUUGCACCAAGCAUUUCAUUGCUGGGAGUAACUUUCAAUUAUCUGAAAUUCAGUAUACUAUCAAAGGACCCAAGUAAGUUCCCCUCUUACUCGAAGCACUCAAAACACUGCUAUAUAUUCAUUUUUUUUAAUUCAGCGCACUAACAUAAAAAAUAUUUUUAUCCAAUCCAGCAUACAGGGAAAAUGGAAGCUCAGGCAAAGAAGCUGGAUGCUCCUUGUGCCAGUCCUCAGUCUGCUAUGCCGUAUUUUUGUUCUCUGAACUUUCGGGGUCAGUGGUGGAAAUGAAAGGCUUGGACUGGGGUACUAUACCAGGGGAGGUCGGGGGCUGUAGCAUGGCCCACUGACAGGGGAAAGUAGGGAAGACGUGAGACUUUUUUUUGUGUGUUAACGGGUUGGCUGGGCGGCCCGUUAGGUACAGGACGACACGCUAAUCAAUCGAAGGCAAAGAGGCCGGUGUCGACCUGAUCCCAGGAAGGAAAUUGAUGCUUUUUUUAAACUGAGUUUAGACCGAGUACUCAGUGUAGACACCUGUCAAACCAUGUUUGGAACAAAAAUGGCCUGAAACAAAUAUAAAAACAGACGUCUGAUGUUUAGUCACUCCCAAUAUAUUAGGCUUGAAUAUUUCUGUAGGAUAGAAGAUGACUGGUAGUUCUUGAUGCUUACGUCAUGCAUAAAAAAAUGGAUUCCAACAAUUGACAUGCAGCAAGUAAUUUUGAAGCUGUACAUAAGUUGGAAAACUCUGAUUGUCUGUAAUGAAUAAUUGUGUUCAAAACGAUUUAUGUUAUAUUUCAGAGAGAACGCGUCGUACGAAGGGCUGAGUAACAACAUACAAGAUUCUGCAUGAUUUGUCGUCGACAGGGACACAAGCGGACAACAUGCCCUCAUCACGGGGAUGUGCCAAAGCAGCCAUGGAAGCCAGGGAGAUGUACAAAUUUCCGUGUCGAAGGGCAUCGCCGAAACAACUGGAGGAGGAGGUCGUAUGGAUCAAAAUGGUUUCUUUCUCACUGGAUCUAGUGUCACCAGCUCCAAAGACUGCUCGCUGGGUGGGUUGCUGGCGAUGUAGGAAGGUGCAGCUUCAGAGUCAUCAGUGAAUCAAGGGACACAAUCUCAGCCAAGCAAUCCAAGUGUAUAUCUGGGCGCUGCAGUCCUUGCAUGGAACAAGAGGCAAAAUCUCGUCAUAGCCUACGGACGAGGACGAUGCAGACAUGGCUAGGAAGAGGUGGAGCUGCUGGCAAUGGCUCGAGUGGGUUCUGGUGGAGCUGCAGAAUGGGUGAGGUGUCGCCUGGAUGGAGGAGAUUAUGAAGGAAACAAUUCCUUACUUAACACUAUCUUAAAUUUCGUUUCCUUAUUUGACACUGAAAAACUUUUCUUAUGUAACAACGAGUCUAAAUUUUAUGCCUUUUAUAACACUUUCGUCUAUUUUGAGCCUAAAUGACAACUGAAAAGAUCCUUUUGCCCCUCA